CACGCUGUAAACGAUGAGUACUAGGUGUCGGGGGUUACCCCCUUCGGUGCCGCAGCUAACGCAUUAAGUACUCCGCCUGGGAAGUACGCUCGCAAGAGUGAAACUCAAAGGAAUUGACGGGGACCCGAACAAGUAGCGGAGCAUGUGGUUUAAUUCGAAGCAACGCGAAGAACCUUACCUAAGCUUGACAUCCCAAUGACAUCUCCUUAAUCGGAGAG
rnacentral:rRNA from 1 species